CAUUCUUCCCCUCUAAUCAGGGCCUGAUUUAGACCUGGGACACCAGUCAUUGUUCCCCUCUAAUCAGGGCCUGAUUUAGACCUGGAACACCAGGCGGGUACCAUUAAUGACCAGGUAGAGGAGAAAAACAGCAUUAGUCCAGACCUGGUAGGUAUCCCAGGAAUCCCCAGGGUCUAUAAUCAUCCACUCCCAUCAGAACCAUUGAAAACAUAUAAGAACCAAUGAAGGAGAUGUGGUCUGGUCAUGGGUUGAAGUGCUCACCUUCAGCUUUACACUCAACAUCACCCCCGCCCACCACCACCUUCUAUGACAUCACUGCAUCACCCUGACAACGACCCCCCCCCCCCCUCACCUUCUAUGACAUCACUGCAUCACCCUGACAAUGGACCCCCCCCACCUUCUAUGACAUCACUUCAUCACCUUGACAACGGACCCCCCAUCACCUUCUAUGACAUCACUGCAUCACCCUGACAACUGACCCCCCCACCCUCUCCUCCCUGUUGCCUGGGCAACAAGAACAUUGAAGGUACACUGAAGUAUUUCCGAAGAGGUUUUAUGUUUCUGUUGUUAGUUUUCUGAAAUAGAAAGAUAACAUUUUACUUUGUUUUUUUCAAACUUUAGUUUAAAACGUUUAAAAACAACACAAAUAUAACAAAAUAAAAACUCAAAUGAGAAAAAAAUACUACAGAAAAAACUACUGAAGACAUUUUAUUUUGAAUUUAUUAUUAAAAGAGUUUGUAUUUUAAGUUGUUUUCAUUUAUCCAUUCAUGCUGUUAACUUCAUAGAUGAGUUUGCUUGUUGUUGGGGGUAUCUAUUAGUUUUCAGAUACUGUAAUACUGGGUAUCAUUUAAAAAACGUGUACUUUUUAUGGGUGUUUUUAGAUAUGUUAUACUUCUGAUCUGGAACCUGGGCCUGUCACUUCACUGUCUACUCCAGCAGACUAAGACUGAAUUAUUUUAUCAUGUUGUUGUUGUUGUUGUUGUUCUGUACUUUAUUCUAAUUGUUUGUAUUUGCUUGAUUCUCACAUGGUGAACAAAUAUGGACAAAGGCGUUUAUUAUUUUGUAUUGCUCUGCCCUAACACUCUCUAGUGCUAGCAUAUGCUACGUACGCUAAGCUAACUGCUAAACUAGCAUAUGCUACGUAGGCUAAGCUAACAUGAAACAUAUUACUAGCAUUUGCUAAGCUAACUAAAGUACUGUUCGCAUACGCUAAGCUAACCGAAACGCUCUACUAGCAUAUGCUAAGCUUACCCGAAACAUCCUGUUAGCUUUAUGCUAAGCUUACCGAAACACCCUGUUAGCUUUAUGCUAAGCUAGCAGCAUCACACUCCGCUGAGCUUCAACCCACUGUAAAGCCUUUCUACGAGAGAUCUGUGUCUCUCUGGGUUCGACUAUUGUGCCUUUCCACUAGCCGGUCUUAUGAUCUCUGAGCUCAACUGCAGUGCCUGUUGAGUGGAAAUGUGUUUUACUCACUACACUACACUAGCAUUUCACAGAAUUACUACAUGCCCAAUAGACUGCUUCAUUCUCAGCGGUAGCUGGUCGUUGGAACAGAGACUAUGGUCAGGAUUUAAUCCCAAACCGCUUGAUGUUUAGAGGUCCAAUUAGGCAGCAGCAUCGUCGAUCAGAUUGAAUCGCUGCCGAUACCUCUCUGGAUCCUGGAUCUCUUUGGGUUUCAUACCAACCCGAACACAAACCUAGUAUUCUCUCUCUCUCUCUCUCGUUGAUUUCUAAAAGGCAACAGAUUCCCUGUGAAAUAUAUGAAUACGUUCAGCUGUCAGAAGGCACUGAGACCACGCCCACACUGACAUCUAAUUAGCAUAAUACACAAACCCUCGUGGGCUGUGUCUCAACCCACCACGCCCACAUCUAAUUAGCAUAAUACACAAACCCUCUUGGGCUGUGUCUCAAUCCCCCAAGCCUGCCUGUCAGCCUUCCUCACCUGAGGUGGAAGGUGACCUUCCUCAUCUGAGGUGGAAGGUGACCUUCCUCAUCUGAGGUGGAAGGUGACCUUCCUCACCUGAGGUGGAAUCGGCCUUCCUCAUCUGAGGUGGAAGGUGACCUUCCUCAUCUGAGGGUGAAGGUGACCUUCCUCACCUGAGGUGGAAUCGACCUUCCUCAUCUGAAGUGGAAUCGGCCUUCCUCAUCUGAGGUGGAAUCGACCUUCCUCACCUGAGGUGGAAUCGACCUUCCUCAUCUGAGGUGGAAGGUGACCUUCCUCAUCUGAGGUGGAAUCGACCUUCCUCAUCUGAGGUGGAAUCGACCUUCCUCAUCUGAGGUGGAAGGUGACCUUCCUCAUCUGAGGUGGAAGGUGACCUUCAUCAUCUGAGGGGAAGGUGACCUUCCUCACCUUCCUCAUCUGAGGUGGAAUCGACCUUCCUCAUCUGAAGUGGAAUCGGCCUUCCUCAUCUGAGGUGGAAUCGACCUUCCUCACCUGAGGUGGAAUCGACCUUCCUCAUCUGAGGUGGAAUCGACCUUCCUCAUCUGAGGUGGAAGGUGACCUUCCUCAUCUGAGGUGGAAUCGACCUUCCUCAUCUGAGGUGGAAUCGACCUUCCUCAUCUGAGGUGGAAGGUGACCUUCCUCAUCUGAGGGGGAAGGUGACCUUCCUCACCUGAGGUGGAAUCGGCCUUCCUCAUCUGAGGUGGAAUCGACCAUCCUCAUCUGAGGUGGAAGGUGACCUUCCUCACCUUCCUCAUCUGAGGUGGAAUCGACCUUCCUCAUCUGAGGGGGAAGUUGACCUUCCUCAUCUGAGGUGGAAGGUGACCUUCCUCAUCUGAGGUGGAAGGUGACCUUCCUCAUCUGAGGUGGAAUCGACCUUCCUCAUCUGAGGGGGAAUCGACCUUCCUCAUCUGAGGGGGGAAGUUGACCUUCCUCAUCUGAGGUGGAAGGUGACCUUCCUCAUCUGAGGGGGGAAGUUGACCUUCCGCAUCUGAGGGGGAAGGUGACCUUCAUCAUCUGAGGUGGAAGGUGACAGAGCUACAGCGGUGUUUGUCAAGAGAUCGUGGUGAAACAUCCUUGAAAAAUUUGGUUUUCUCACAAAUACUUCUGUAGCGUCCUAACGAGUCAGAUUGGACCAUCUUAAAACAAUUCCAUAUGUAACCAGGAUGUACGAUUUAGUUUAGUAGGAACUCAGUGCCCUGGGGCCCUUAGACCCCUUUUUCUUUUAACAGCUUUGUGAUGGGGAAUAUAAUUAUAUUGAAACUAACCUGCCAACUGGAACUAAGCCUUAGAGGCACAGACACAGGUUCUCUCUACCCCCUCACAGUUCCCCUGUAGCUAUAACUCAGGCUGACUUGACCUGCUAGUAACUAACACACAUCAGCCUCCACAUCCAAUCUGAAAACAACUGGAACUAAGCCUUAGAGGCACAGACACAGGUUCUCUCUACCCCCUCACAGUUCCCCUGUAGCUAUAACUCAGGCUGACUUGACCUGCUAGUAACUAACACACAUCAGCCUCCACAUCCAAUCUGAAAACAAC